CCUGAGCGAGACCUCGGUCCGGCCUCUGAGCCGAGAGGGAGGGCGACCCGUGUUUGCCCUUCACUGUGACCUUGAAUUUUUUCCCUUCCCUCGUGACCUCCUUGCCUGCUCCCGGGCAUCUGGGGCUGGGGCGGCGCGGCACCCCUCCCCCCCAGCUGCGGCGGGGGCUGUGGGCCUUGGAAGCCCCCGGAGGCACUUACAUGAGGAAAAAAAAUCCAUCUGUUUCCACCCCCAGACGUCCACACUGAAGAGAGAUGUUCCCAGAGCAUACGACCCCAGAGAGCAUUUUCUGCAGGACGAGGAGGUGACCAAAGUGCCACCAGAGGAAAGCAGUUCUCAGACAGCAGGAGCAGGGACUGAGUUCGGUCCACUGACAAGGCUACAGCACUGACGUUUGUCAAGAGUCUCAGUUGGUUCACGAACCUUAAGUGCAGGUGGCUUCUGUGGCUCAGACAAGACCGGAGCCUCUGCCAUGUGGAUACAUCAUGGAUGCAUCCAAAACCAAACCCAGUUCACAGCUGCACAACCUUAGAGAGUCUCUGAACCAAUUCAAUGUUAAACAAAAUUAAGACAAAGAUAUUGUAUGUGUUUCCGAGAGAGGUUAGUUAGCUUGUAAAUUCUGAGUUUUGACUGGCCAAAGCUGCAGCUUAACAUAAGUAUGUUUAACCAGAUACAGACUGGAGAUGAUACAAAGUCCACCCACCCCAACAAUCAAGAAGUUUGUGAAUUUAAGAAUUAGUGUUUUCUCUACACAUAGCCGAAUUUUCCCUUAAACUUAAAAAUAAAAUUCCUUAAAGUAUCUAUGGGGGAAAAAUCUUAUAUGAAAAUUAGAAAUUUUAAAACACAAACAGAACACACUGCAGAAAAACUACUGUGGUGCCAAUGCAAGACUUAAACGGACUAAUGGCAAAAAAAAAAAAAAAAAAUUCUGGGAAUAAGAUGGCAAUCACCCCCUCCUGUUACAGAGUUCUUUAAUGUGAAAGGUUGUAAGGGAGUUCUCAAGGUAGAAUGCCAUAGAACUGGAAAGGCCUGAAUCCCUCAAAUACCCACAAAACUGAAUAGAGGACAGCUGCCAAGCUGGGCGGCCCACAGAGCCUCACGGCCACUCAAAGUCUCUCUCAUCUGAACACACAAGUCUCAUGUUUUGCAGAGAAUGAGAGGGAACCAAUGAUGUGGAGAUGGGGCAGGAAGAUUUAUAAUCUAUAUCCUAGAGAAAGAAAACAACAUGACAAAAUGCCAGCCUACACAAAUGGAAUUUUUUAAUGUUUAAGCUUAUGCAUAUCUGAGUGCAUAUGAUCAAAUCAAAGUAUGAAGUUAAAAAAAAGAGAGAGACGGCAGCUUGAGAAAGUUCCAGUGUUUCAGAGAAAGCACUUUGUUUUUAACUGGAUGUACAUCUUUGAGACUGGUUAGUAGUGCCGCAAAAUAUGUGAGUGUGGCCAGAGAGAGGGGCCAGGCGAGGGGCCUUAGGCCUUGUCCUUCAAAGGCUUCGACCACUGGAGCCCGAGAGCCUCCCCUUCCCCACCCCCUUUCUCCUUCUGCCUUCACAUUUCCGGCUGCUCAGCAGAUGCCUGCGGCUCCGGAGGCUCAAAGCGCUGGUGAAAGUUCGUCCUUGGCUUCCUCAGCUUCUCAGGAGCUUUUCUCCAUAAGAUGAUCUCCUGGUAAAAACAAAUGCCAGAACACUGACAUGUGAACCGUUUGUGGAUGUGAUUGUGUUUGAGUGUUAUGCGUAUAUCCUGGACUUUCUACUUCAAUCAACAAGCAUUUAUGGAGCACCUACUACGAGCCAGGCACUGUACAAGAAACCUUCAACGGCUCCAUGAUACCUACAGAAUAAAGACACAACAACUUCCUUUGCACAACACCCCUGUUAGCAGGAAGCUUGGUCCUAGAGAAGAGCUGAAAAAAUGGACCUCCCCCUCUCUUCUUUGCAGAAGCCAUCAAGGUACUGUGGUUGGGUAAUACUGUAUGUACUGUCAACUCAGAUUACAUGUUGGUAAAUUUUUUUUUAAAUUCCUUAUUACAAGAGAUAAGCUCACUGGAUAAAAGAAGGAGAUAGCCAGAAAAGAAAGUGACAUAAAACCAAAAAGAAUUCAUUUUUUAAAAAAGCAUGCCAGUCAUGGCACUCCAUAACCUUAGUUCCUACCUGUUUUUUCAGCAUUACCUCUUACCACUCCCCUAUACUUCAGUCAAUCUUAUUUACAUACUGUCCCCUGAAAUAACCUGUACUUUCUUACCUCUCAGCCUCUUCCCUCAUCUAAAUCCUGCCAGAUCCUCCAAGGGAUGAGGUACUACCUCAUCCGUAAAACCUCACUGAUUAUAUGCUGGACUACAGUGAUUUUUCUUUCCUCUGAACCCUUAAAGAAAUGACUGGUUUAUAUUUAGAACCCAUGCAGAUAAUAAGACUCAUUUGUUAAACAAGUCACAGCUCCCUAGAUGUUGGUCUUCAAAGCCAGCACAAGGACUCACUCCGAUGAUACUGCCAUUACACAAACAUUUUAGAGCUGCUGCUCUAUUACAACUGAUUUCAGCUUAAAAGCCUGGAAACCCAUCUUGCUACUUUAUAGUCAUUCCUAAUUCUGACCCUUUGGGUUCUGCCAUCUUGAUCAGCCAGAUCAUUCCACACUUGGCAAAACUGCUUCUUGAUUGACUUGGCUGUUUGUCUAAGUCCAAUCCACCCUUCAAAAGAUUAAAAUAUGUUACUGUUGAGGCUAUUCAUGCUCUGAAGGCAAUUCCCCAAGAGGGGCUCUAGCCAACAAAGCUUCCCAUCUGAGACGUUGUCACAUGACUCAAUGGCCUCGAAUCCUCUAAUUCCCCUGGUAACUGGUCAUCCAGGCCAAGCCUCCCAACUUCUCUGGUGUUCUCAAGCAGAAGCCAAUUCACUUGGUCGCACAUCCGCCUUGCCUUUCCCAUUUCACUGUAGGCUUCCACACCUGUGCUUCCUCUAAUCCCCUCUGCAGUUAAUCCAGCCCAUAUUAGAUGAUUAAUAAAUAAUCGUUCACUUGUCUUCAUUAAAGGCCACAAGUCUCUUACCUCACUUCAGGUAGUUUUCACUAUUAAAAGUCUAGAGAAAGUCUAUUUAGGGUUCAGACUGAAAACCAAUUCACCUGUGACAUUAACCUUUUUAGAAUCAAAUUAAAGCCUAGGAAUCAGACCGUGCCUGACUCUUGGCUGAAGAAUACAUCAUAUGCACAUUUCCAUCACUUGAACUGACUGCAGCUAAAUACAAGCUACACACAUUCAACAACUUCAAGCCAGUGACUUAGGUGGAAGGGUAUGAAUCAAAGUGUUUUCAGUAGCUGUGAUGAAUGGACAGAUGAUACCUGCACUUCUCUGAAUGAAGUGAACACAGCAUGCACAGGCCCCACAGGCGGUUCUGCUCGCCUCACCCCAUCUGCCUACGACCCCCGACCCCCAGAGUGACCAAGAACAAGACGUCAGCUGGCAACGAACGUACCUGCUG